GAUGAACGCUAGCUACAGGCUUAACACAUGCAAGUCGCGGGGCAGCAUGGGGGUUGCUUGCACUCCCUGAUGGCGACCGGCGCACGGGUGAGUAACGCGUAUCCAACCUGCCCUUCACCACGGGAUAACCCGGCGAAAGUCGGACUAAUACCGUAUGUUGUCCAUUGACGGCAUCCGAUUUGGACGAAAGGCUUAGCGGUGAGGGAUGGGGAUGCGUCCGAUUAGCUUGACGGCGGGGUAACGGCCCACCGUGGCUACGAUCGGUAGGGGUUCUGAGAGGAAGGUCCCCCACACUGGAACUGAGACACGGUCCAGACUCCUACGGGAGGCAGCAGUGAGGAAUAUUGGUCAAUGGGCGUAAGCCUGAACCAGCCAAGUAGCGUGCAGGAUGACGGCCCUAUGGGUUGUAAACUGCUUUUAUGCGGGGAUAAAGGGACCCACGUGUGGGUUUUUGCAGGUACCGCAUGAAUAAGGACCGGCUAAUUCCGUG
rnacentral:rRNA from 1 species